GUUUACAACAGGCCUGCUCUCGGGAGGUGCUGGCCCAUUCUGCACCCCUGCCCUUCCUCUAACGUCUCCUCCUCCUUAUCUGUGGAUCUUCCUUCUGCUCCUCUGCAGCUGAGGCUUCCUGAGGAGUUCUGGAGGCUGGGAAGUCCAUGGUCGAGCGGCUGCAUCUGGUGAGGGCUUCUUGCUGGUGGGGACUCUCCGCAGAGUCCUGAGGUGGUGCCGGGCACACAGGGCAAGGGGGCUGAGCAUGCUGAGUCACAUCUCUUCCUUUUCUUACAAAGCCACCAGACCCACUCUGUGAUAACACAUUAAACCAUUAACCCAUUAGUCUAUUAGUUCAUGAAUGGGUUAAUCCAUUCACAAAGGCAGAACCCUCAU